rnacentral:ribozyme from 1 species
GUCGUCGUCGUCGUCGUCGCUGCCGAACCUGCUCUUCCUGCACGGCUCUUACCACGG